UACGAAGGGGGCUAGCGUUGUUCGGAAUUACUGGGCGUAAAGCGCACGUAGGCGGCUAUUUAAGUCAGGGGUGAAAUCCCAGAGCUCAACUCUGGAACUGCCUUUGAUACUGGGUGUCUUGAGUGUGAGAGAGGUAUGUGGAACUCCGAGUGUAGAGGUGAAAUUCGUAGAUAUUCGGAAGAACACCAGUGGCGAAGGCGACAUACUGGCUCAUUACUGACGCUGAGGCGCGAAAGCGUGGGGAGCAAACAGG
rnacentral:rRNA from 1 species